AGCGGCGGACGGGUGAGUAACGCGUGGGUAACCUGCCUCAUACAGGGGGAUAACAGUUAGAAAUGCUGCUAAUACCGCAUAAGACCACAGCACCGCAUGGUGCAGGGGUAAAAACUCCGGUGGUAUGAGAUGGACCCGCGUCUGAUUAGGUAGUUGGUGGGGUAACGGCCUACCAAGCCGACGAUCAGUAGCCGACCUGAGAGGGUGACCGGCCACAUUGGGACUGAGACACGGCCCAA
rnacentral:rRNA from 1 species